rnacentral:rRNA from 1 species
UACAGAGGUCCCAAGCGUUGUUCGGAUUUACUUGGCGUAAAGGGUGCGUAGGCGGUGGGGUAAGUUUGAGGUGAAAGCUCCGGGCUCAACCCGGAAAAUGCCUUGAAAACUAUCCGGCUAGAGGGUUGGAGGGGAGACUGGAAUUCUCGGUGUAGCAGUGAAAUGCGUAGAUCUCGAGAGGAACACCAGUGGCGAAGGCGGGUCUCUGGACAACACCUGACGCUGAGGCACGAAAGCCAGGGGAGCAAACGGG